CCGCGCAGCCGGGGAGAUAGCGGUGCCCUGUACCUGCAAUCCGCUAUAGCAGGGGUGAUGCCAAUCUGAGGCUUAUUCUCUGCGGAGCUGCCCUUUAUAAGUGGCGCUGACGUCUGGGUCUUACGCAACAGAACUCUGUGAACCGUGUCAGGUCAGGAAUGAAGCAGCACUAAGCAGACCAUUCUGUGUGCCGUAAGGGCGCCUGGAUCGAGUUAACUGUAAAGGUACCGUCCGUGGAAAUAUUUCGAGGUGCGGCGCGCGU
rfam:Blautia sp. An249 An249_contig_18, whole genome shotgun sequence.